ACUACUGCACUUGACUAGUCUUU
rnacentral:piRNA from 3 species